UACAGAGGUGGCAAGCGUUGUUCGGAUUUACUGGGCGUAAAGGGUCCGUAGGCGGUUUGGAAAGUUGAAUGUGAAAUCCCGCAGCUCAACUGCGGAACUGCAUUCAAAACUUCCAGACUAGAGUAUGAGAGGGGUUAAGGGAAUUCCCGGUGUAAGGGUGAAAUCUGCAGAGAUCGGGAGGAACACCAGUCGCGAAGGCGCUUAACUGGCUCAUACUGACGCUCAGGGACGAAAGCUAGGGUAGCAAACGGG
rnacentral:rRNA from 1 species